rnacentral:snRNA from 1 species
GGAUGUGAGGGCGAUCUGGCUGCGACAUCUGUCACCCCAUUGAUUGCCAGGGUUGAUUCGGCUGAUCUGGCUGGCUAGGCGGGUGUCCCCUUCCUCCCUCACUGCUCCAUGUGCGUCCCUCCCGAAGCUGCGCACUCAGUCGAAGAGGACUGCCUUCCCCGAAUAGAGAUGGACCGGUCUUCGGUGGAGGGUAUACGAGUAGCUGCGCUCCCCUGCUAGAACCUCCAAACAAGCUCUCAAGAAUAUAGUGAUUUCAGAAGACAUAGAAUGUUUGCAGUGAAGGAGUGGUAGAUGAACAGAGCUGUAAAUGAAGU